CCUACGGGUGACAGCAGUGAGGAAUAUUGGUCAAUGGGCGCGAGCCUGAACCAGCCAAGUAGCGUGAAGGAUGACUGCCCUACGGGUUGUAAACUUCUUUUAUACAGGGAUAAAGUGAGGCACGUGUGCCUUUUUGUAUGUACUUUAUGAAUAAGGAUCGGCUAACUCCGUGCCAGCAGCCGCGGUAAUACGGAGGAUCCGAGCGUUAUCCGGAUUUAUUGGGUUUAAAGGGAGCGUAGAUGGGUUGUUAAGUCAGUUGUGAAAGUUUGCGGCUCAACCGUAAAAUUGCAAUUGAUACUGGCAGCCUUGAGUACAGAUGCGGUAGGCGGAAUGCGUGGUGUAGCGGUGAAAUGCUUAGAUAUCAUGAAGAACUCCGAUUGCGAAGGCAGCUUACUAAACUGCAUCUGACAUUGAUGCUCGAAAGUGUGGGUAUCAAACAGGAUUAGAUACCCCAGUAGUC
rnacentral:rRNA from 1 species